rnacentral:rRNA from 1 species
AGUAGUGGNGAGCGAAAAGGGAGUAGCCCAAACUUUAAAUGUGUCAAGCUGCAGAGCGUUGCAUUUAUGGGGUUGUAGGACGUUUAGGCUUAGUCUGUGAUAAGCAAAAAAGUUACAAAAUAUUUAUAUAGAAGAAUAAUCUGGAAAGAUUAACCAAAGAAGGUGAUAGUCCUGUAAUUUAAAUGUAAAUAUCUUUUUANAAUGUUCCUGAGUAGAACGAGGCACGAGAAACCUUGUUUGAAGCUGGGGAGACCACUCUCCAAGGCUAAAUACUAAAAAGCUACCGAUAGUGAAGAGU